AAUAAAGCAGUAACUACAUAAGUUAUUAUACAUUCCUCAAAGAAUAUUAAAUCCAAAACCAGUGUUAUGACUAAGAAAAGUGCAUAUUUGUUUUAAAUAAAAAGUACCACGCGUAAUAGGCUCGAAAAAUGAGCAGCAAUCCAAAGAGCGCGCGUAGAAUCUCUGUAAAUCCAAGAAACGCCUAUUUCUUUUGCUUCUCAACACGCGAUAUCGACGAAGUAAGCAAGUCAUCAAAGAGCAACCCGGCUCUAUUGACCGUCGACAGCAUGAGAGCGAGCUCUUACUUACCCACUCUGCUCACCCCAACUCCUACAUCAUGGAGCUACCAAAGUCAAACCCGACCACCGCCGGCUUCGAUGGAAGAACCCCCAUCAACUAGCAGUGCUACAAUUACUGCAGUCGCAGUAAAAGCACCACCAACUACUAAACCAACUAACAUUAUGGCAAUUCGGUGCCAACAGCUGAGGAACAAAAUACAAUUGCAACAAAAACCGUAAAAUUCGAUUAGCAACAAGCGGUCUCGGUUAUACAGAGCGGUAUGGAUCGCAACAUCCAGAUUAAGUGUAAACUUAGUCCACUUAACACGGUUGGUAAUAAACCAAAGAUCAACCGUACCAACAAAACCAACAAACAAUCUAGGGGUCAGAAUGAUAACGGUUUUUCCAUCAUAGCAGAGGCGGAGAACAACCAAGCAGAGUUGAGGCAAGGGACACAAAAGAAACCAUAGCCCCCACCUAUUUAUAUUAGGGAAAAAACUCAAUCGCCCUGGUCAACAAAAUUGUUGCCCUUAAAACGGACGCCUCCGAUACAGCGAUCGUUUCUGCUCUCGAACAACUAGUCGUCAACGUUUGGCGUCCCAUCGGGUUUUUCUCGUGGAAACUAUCUCCGGCAGAGCAAGGCUACAGCACGGGGUCGUCCAUUCAUCAUCCAAGCCCACCAUAAACCACUACAAUACGCUUUCAGGCAGAAAGCAAGCAAAGCAUCGCCUCGACAACUCCGCCAAUUGGUUUUCCCAAUUCUCAACAGAGAUAGUAUACAAUCCCGGGGAAAACAACGCAGUGGCAGCAGCCCUCUCACGCAUCAACACCAUAAGGAUGCCGUCAAGUGCUCAAGCGAUAUUCGACGCCCAACAAACUGACGAUGAAAUGGCUGAGGUUCUGCAUGUUUGGUUGCCCAACAACGGACCAGGGAACUCAAUUCGAAUCCGCAUUGUUUGCUGAGCUGGCUAAACUAAUUGGAGCCGAAAGGAUACGUAUAACCGCAUAUCACCCUCAGUCAAACGGCAUCGUGGAGAGAUGGCACCGUACCCUCAAGGCCGCCCUGAUGUGUGAGUCUCACAUAGCAUGGCCGGAUCUCCUGCCUACAGUUCUGUUGGGGCUGCGCUCGGCGUUUAAGGUUGACCUCCAGCCAUCGCUAGCCGAAAUGCAUUUGGGCACCACUAUUCGUAUCCACCAGUAAGGAGCACCGACUCACCGGAUAACUACGUCAACAUAUCAGGGAAGCCCGACCUACUCCUGCAGCGCAUCACGCUUAACCACCUGUUUUUAUUUGAAAGGACCACGUCUUCAAGCGAGUGGCAUCUGUUAAAAAACCACUCGAGCCGCCGUACACGGGACCUCAUCGGGUAAUACGCCGGGUUGAUGAUAAGCUCUACAUUAUCAGCGUUCAUGGACAAGAGAAGGCCAUAUAAGUCGACCUCCUCAAGUCUGCCUUCUUAGCUGAAGCUGACGCUUGCCAUGACCACCACGAGGAUCCACCGCCUGACCAACAUAUUUUGCAGCCACCUUCGCCACCGAGCCCUGCACCUGCAGCUCAAGUAUUUAUACUGUUACCUUCACCACCUGGCGAAGUCACUGGGGGGGAGGUGGAUGUGGCGCCCAGACUAAAGCCCAGUCUGGCAACACGGCGUAAACAAGAACUUACGCCAAGAUUUUUUCUGGAGGACGAUAUCUUCUCAUAUUGUCAGACUAGCAACUCUCGACUUCAGCUCCGCCGCGCAACAAGCUUACGGCUUCUUAUUAACAUUCUAUUGUAUUUCUUAAUUAAAUAAAGCAGUAACUACAUAAGUUAUUAUA